ensembl:snRNA U2 U2 spliceosomal RNA
AUCGCUUCUCAGCCUUUUGGCUAAGAUCAAGUGUAAAAAUUUGAUUAUAACAUAUUUUAGCAAUUAGUAAUUAAUAGAUAGUAGUUGUUGCACAUACUAUACUAGGCUUCUC